AUUGAACGCUGGCGGCAGGCCUAACACAUGCAAGUCGAGCGACCGGCGGACGGGUGAGUAAUGUAAGCGGACCGCCCGCUAGAGGGGGCUAACAAAAGGAGAAGGUAGCACAUACCGCGUAUGAUCGGAUAACCCAUAUGGGAUUAGAUAGUAGGGGAGGUAAUGGCUCACCUAGGCGACGAUCCCUAGCUGGUCUGAGAGGAUGGUCAGCCACACUGGGACUGAGACACGGCCCAGACUUCUACGGAGGCAGCAGUGGGGAAUAUUGCACAAUGGGGGCAAGCCUGAUGCAGCCAUCCCGCGUGUAUGAAGAAGGCCCUAGGGUUGUAAAGUACUUUCAGUCGGGAGGCGUUACCGCCAGAAGAAGCACCGGCUAACUCCGUGCCAGCAGCCGCGGUAAUUC
rnacentral:rRNA from 1 species